GAUGAACGCUGGCGGCGUGCCUAAUACAUGCAAGUCGAGCGAACAGACGAGGAGCUUGCUCCUCUGACGUUAGCGGCGGACGGGUGAGUAACACGUGGAUAACCUACCUAUAAGACUGGGAUAACUUCGGGAAACCGGAGCUAAUACCGGAUAAUAUAUUGAACCGCAUGGUUCAAUAGUGAAAGACGGUUUUGCUGUCACUUAUAGAUGGAUCCGCGCCGCAUUAGCUAGUUGGUAAGGUAACGGCUUACCAAGGCAACGAUGCGUAGCCGACCUGAGAGGGUGAUCGGCCACACUGGAACUGAGACACGGUCCAGACUCCUACGGGAGGCAGCAGUAGGGAAUCUUCCGCAAUGGGCGAAAGCUUGACGGAGCAACGCCGCGUGAGUGAUGAAGGUCUUCGGAUCGUAAAACUCUGUUAUUAGGGAAGAACAAAUGAGUAAGUAACUAUGCACGUCUUGACGGUACCUAAUCAGAAAGCCACGGCUAACUACGUG
rnacentral:rRNA from 1 species